ACCACCAAACUAACCUUCCCAGAAGCCAAAGAUAUCCUCUUAUCACCCCGCAAGAAAGUAUAGCCCUCCUCAAAGGCUAACGCCUGUGGUGAUUCUCGCUCUACUUCUGAGCACACUUUGUUCCUCUGCUCUACGCACUUCCCAUCUGUAGCACCACAAAGUCACAAAUGCCUCCUCCUGACAUUAGCCAAGCUGGCAAUAAUCAGUGGAGCAGAAGGAUGUUCAGUGAGGAGAUUCUCGUGAUUGUGGUGCCUUCCUCCAUUCCUUGGAUCAUUCAUGCAUCUGGACCUGGUUCCUCUGCCGGGCAUCCACUGACACCUUUGCAGAACAGUGCAAAACUGGUUCAGGAGGGAUACUAUCUACAGAGCUGAAAGAUGAUCUCAUGAUACUUGUCAUGACAAACAAGAAAUCCAACUGUACAAAUUGAAGAUCUACAAAGUAUAUUCAACCUCCUGCAGACUGCAGUUGUUAAAAGAAAAUAAAUCACUUAAACAGGGUCA
rnacentral:lncRNA from 1 species